UACGUAGGGUGCGAGCGUUAAUCGGAAUUACUGGGCGUAAAGCGUGCGCAGGCGGUUUUGUAAGCCAGAUGUGAAAUCCCCGGGCUCAACCUGGGAACUGCAUUUGUGACUGCAUCGCUGGAGUGCGGCAGAGGGGGAUGGAAUUCCGCGUGUAGCAGUGAAAUGCGUAGAUAUGCGGAGGAACACCGAUGGCGAAGGCAAUCCCCUGGGCCUGCACUGACGCUCAUGCACGAAAGCGUGGGGAGCAAACAGG
rnacentral:rRNA from 1 species